GAUGAAGAACGCAGCAAAAUGCGAUAAGUAAUGUGAAUUGCAGAAUUCAGUGAGUCAUCGAAUCUUUGAACGCACAUUGCGCCCGCUGGUAUUCCGGCGGGCAUGCCUGUUCGAGCGUCAUUUCAACCCUCAAGCCCCCGGGUUUGGUGUUGGGGAUCGGCUCUGCCCUUCUGGGCGGUGCCGCCCCCGAAAUACAUUGGCGGUCUCGCUGCAGCCUCCAUUGCGUAGUAGCUAACACCUCGCAACUGGAACGCGGCGCGGCCAUGCCGUAAAACCCCAACUUCUGAAUGUUGACCUCGGAUCAGGUAGGAAUACCCGCUGAACUUAAGCAUAUCAAUAAGCGGAGGA
rnacentral:misc_RNA from 1 species